ensembl:lncRNA
CACUUGACCUUCUAACCACCCUCUCGGAGACACAAGAAAAACAUCCAGGGGGCUGCUAAUGCAGUGAGAUCUGAAUCAGAUGAUAUUCAGGAGGGCUCAGAAGAGGGAAACAAGGCAGAAGAAUGCUCUGAGCUGCAGAAUGUGGCUCCGGGAAGAGCAGGCCAGGGUGGCAAUGUCUUUGCUGCUUUCUUUUUGUUCCAUGGCAGACGCUGGAGGUGAGUAAACAGGGGGCCCAGGUAGCUCUGUAGUUGGCUUUGCCUCAUGUUCCACAGAAGCCGUGCUUUUUCUGGUGGACUGGGGGCUCCUGGUGGAUCUCAUCAGUGUUUAGCAUGGUGCUGUGGCUGCUGUUUCCCAAAGUUUGCUUCACUUUGUACUUGACUUGCAUUGCCCCGGGGCCCCAUUCUGGUGAGAACGUAGAGAUUUUCGAACUCCAAAUGUCCUCUCCAUGACUAAUUUUGCUUCUCCACGACAGCACAUGACAUUGGGUAGCUGAGGACACUGGCUCUGUGCACUAUCUUCUUCUUCAGCAAGCUGGCAUGGAGACCCAACUCAGGUGUCUCAGAGGUGCAGCCUUUGGCUAAGCAUCUUCCUGCUGGGACCUGGACCAUGUUCCUGCCCUGUUUGAGUUCCUGUCCUGACUUUCCUUCGGCAAUGAAUGGUGACAUGAAACUGUAAGCCAAAUAAACCUUUUCCUUCCCAAGUUUCUUCGGUUAUGGUGUCUCAUCGCAGCAACAGUAACCUUAAGUAAGACAGUACCCAAGCUUCUGUUUUGUGUUCACUCAAAUGCUAAGAAUGUUAUUGUGUAGUUUGGCUGUAGCACUGGGGAGAGGGGCAUGUCCACCAAUUAGUGAGGUGGUCCACAGUAACCAUUAACUAUCCACUUACUUUAGACAUCUCAGUGACGUGUACCUGGAUACCUCAGAAUGGCCUGAGCACAUAAUUUCUCUCUCCUGAAAGCUGUUGGUGAAG